rnacentral:rRNA from 1 species
GAUGAACGCUGGCGGCGUGCCUAAUACAUGCAAGUCGAGCGAACAGACGAGGAGCUUGCUCCUCUGACGUUAGCGGCGGACGGGUGAGUAACAUGUGGAUAACCUACCUAUAAGACUGGGAUAACUUCGGGAAACCGGAGCUAAUACCGGAUAAUAUAUUGAACCGCAUGGUUCAAUAGUGAAAGACGGUUUUGCUGUCACUUAUAGAUGGAUCCGCGCCGCAUUAGCUAGUUGGUAAGGUAACGGCUUACCAAGGCAACGAUGCGUAGCCGACCUGAGAGGGUGAUCGGCCACACUGGAACUGAGACACGGUCCAGACUCCUACGGGAGGCAGCAGUAGGGAAUCUUCCGCAAUGGGCGAAAGCCUGACGGAGCAACGCCGCGUGAGUGAUGAAGGUCUUCGGAUCGUAAAACCCUGUUAUUAGGGAAGAACAAAUGUGUAAGUAACUAUGCACGUCUUGACGGUACCUAAUCAGAAAGCCACGGCUAACUACGUG